UGCCUAUUGAAUACCUUAUUUUAGGUAAGUUCUGCCCGGUGAAAAAUUUAACGGCCGCGGUACCUUGACCGUGCUAAGGUAGCAUAAUCAUUUGCCUUUUAAUUAAAGAGCUAGAAUGAAUGAAUAUUCUUUGAUAAAGCUGUACCUUAAUAUUUCAUAAAAAUUAUUCUUCAAGUGAAAAAACUUGAAUUAUACAAAAAGACAAAAAGACCCUAUCAAGCUUAAUAUUUUAUAUAUCAUAUAAAAUAAAUAUUUGGUUGGGGAGAUUAUUGAGAAUUAUUUUCCACUCAUAAAAAUUUAGAUUUAUAAAUCUCCAUAUUUAAAAAUAUAUUACAAUAAAGCUACUGUAGGGAUAACAGGCUAAUAUCUUUUCCGAGAUCAAAUUAAAGAAGAUGAUUGGCACCUCGAUGUUGGCUUAGGGAUAUUAAAUUCUGCAGAAGGAAUUAUAAGAGGUUUGUUCAACCAUUAAACCCCU
rnacentral:rRNA from 1 species